AUAGGAGACAAGAAGGCAUCUUCUUGUUUUUAAAAGACCUAGCAAUAGGUAUGCUUAGGGAGGAGCUUGCGUCACAUUAGUUAGUUGGUGGGGUAAAGGCCUACCAAGACUAUGAUGUGUAGCCGGGCUGAGAGGUUGAACGGCCACAUUGGGACUGAGACACGGCCCAAACUCCUACGGGAGGCAGCAGUAGGGAAUUUUCGGCAAUGGAGGAAACUCUGACCGAGCAACGCCGCGUGAACGAUGAAGUAUUUCGGUACGUAAAGUUCUUUUAUUAGGGAAGAAUAAAUGAUGGAAAAAUCAUUCUGACGGUACCUAAUGAAUAAGCCCCGGCUAACUAUGUGCCAGCAGCCGCGGUAAUACAUAGGGGGCAAGCGUUAUCCGGAAUUAUUGGGCGUAAAGGGUGCGUAGGCGGUUAAAUAAGUUUAUGGUCUAAGUGCAAUGCUCAACAUUGUGAUGCUAUAAAAACUGUUUAGCUAGAGUAAGAUAGAGGCAAGUGGAAUUCCAUGUGUAGUGGUAAAAUGCGUAAAUAUAUGGAGGAACACCAGUAGCGAAGGCGGCUUGCUGGGUCUUUACUGACGCUGAGGCACGAAAGCGUGGGGAGCAAACAGGAUUAGAUACCCUGGUAGUCCACGCCGUAAACGAUGAGUACUAAACGUUGGGUAAAACCAGUGUUGAAGUUAACACAUUAAGUACUCCGCCUGAGUAGUACGUACGCAAGUAUGAAACUUAAAGGAAUUGACGGGACUCCGCACAAGCGGUGGAUCAUGUUGUUUAAUUCGAAGGUACCCGAAAAACCUCACCAGGUCUUGACAUGCUUCUGCAAAGCUGUAGAAACACAGUGGAGGUUGUCAGUUGCACAGGUGGUGCAUGGUUGUCGUCAGCUCGUGUCGUGAGAUGUUGGGUUAAGUCCCGCAACGAGCGCAACCCUUAUUGUUAGUUACCAGCACGUAAUGGUGGGGACUUUAGCAAGACUGCCAGUGAUAAAUUGGAGGAAGGUGGGGACGACGUCAAAUCAUCAUGCCCCUUAUGACCUGGGCUACAAACGUGAUACAAUGGCUGUUACAAAGGGUAGCUGAAGCGCAAGUUUUUGGCGAAUCUCAAAAAAACAGUCUCAGUUCGGAUUGAAGUCUGCAACUCGACUUCAUGAAGUUGGAAUCGCUAGUAAUCGCGAAUCAGCAUGUCGCGGUGAAUACGUUC
rnacentral:rRNA from 1 species